AGAGUGAACGCUGGCGGUAGGCCUAACACAUGCAAGUCGAACGGCAGCACGGUAAGAGCUUGCUCUUAUGGGUGGCGAGUGGCGGACGGGUGAGGAAUACAUCGGAAUCUACCUUUUGGUGGGGGAUAACGUAGGGAAACUUACGCUAAUACCGCAUACGCCCUUCGGGGGAAAGCCGGGGACCAGCAAUGGCCUGGCGCUGAUAGAUGAGCCGAUGUCGGAUUAGCUAGUGGUGAGGUAAUGGCUCACCAAGGCGACGAUCCGUAGCUGGUCUGGAGAGGAUGAUCAGCCACACUGGAACUGAGACACGGUCCAGCUCCUACGGGAGCAGCAGUGGGGAAUAGUGGACAAGUGGGCGCAAGCCUGAUACCGACGCCAGUACCGCGGUGGUAGAAGAA
rnacentral:rRNA from 1 species